rnacentral:rRNA from 1 species
GUAGGGAAUAUUGGUCAAUGGGUGAGAGCCUGAACCAGCCAUGCCGCGUGCAGGAAGACGGCCUUCUGGGUUGUAAACUGCUUUUUUCUGGGGAUAAAAUACCCGUGCGCGGGGAAUUGAAGGUACCAGAGGAAUAAGCCACGGCUAACUACGUGCCAGCAGCCGCGGUAAUACGUAGGUGGCAAGCGUUGUCCGGAUUUAUUGGGUUUAAAGGGUGCGUAGGCGGUCCUAUAAGUCAGUGGUGAAAUACGGCAGCUCAACUGUCGAGGUGCCAUUGAUACUGCAGGACUAGAGUACUGAUGAGGUAGGCGGAAUGGACGGUGUAGCGGUGAAAUGCUUAGAUAUCGUCCAGAACACCGAUAGCGAAGGCAGCUUACUAAGGAGUAACUGACGCUGAGGCACGAAAGUGUGGGGAUCAAACAGGAUUAGAUACCCCAGUAGUCC